rnacentral:tRNA from 1 species
GGGGAGAUGACUCAGUGGUAGAGUGCAUGCUUUGCAUGCAUGAGACCCUGGGUUCAAUCCCCAGCACCA